rnacentral:rRNA from 1 species
AUUACCCACUCCCGGCACGGGGAGGUAGUGACGAAAAAUAACGAUACGGGACUCAUCCGAGGCCCCGUAAUCGGAAUGAGUACACUCUAAACCCUUUAACGAGGAUCAAUUGGAGGGCAAGUCUGGUGCCAGCAGCCGCGGUAAUUCCAGCUCCAAUAGCGUAUAUUAAAGUUGUUGCGGUUAAAAAGCUCGUAGUCGAAUCUGUGUCUCGCGCCGCCGGUUCAUCGCUCGCGGUGUUUAACUGGCGUGUCGCGGGACGUCCUGCCGGUGGGCUCAGCCUCCUUCGCGGGGGGCGGCCCAACUACGCAUCCCGCCGCGGUGCUCUUCGCUGAGUGUCGAGGUGGGCCGGCACGUUUACUUUGAACAAAUUANAGUGCUUAAAGCAGGCUCAAACUUCGCCUGAAUAUUCUGUGCAUGGAAUAAUGGAAUAGGACCUCGGUUCUAUUUUGUUGGUUUUCGGAACCCCGAGGUAAUGAUUAAUAGGAACNGAUGGGGGCAUUCGUAUUGCGACGUUAGAGGUGAAAUUCUUGGAUCGUCGCAAGACGGACGGAAGCGAAAGCAUUUGCCAAAAACGUUUUCAUUGAUCAAGAACGAAAGUUAGAGGUUCGAAGGCGAUCAGAUACCGCCCUAGUUCUAACCAUAAACGAUGCCAGCUAGCGAUCCGCCGACGUUCCUCCGAUGACUCGGCGGGCAGCUUCCGGGAAACCAAAGCUUUUGGGUUCCGGGGGAAGUAUGGUUGCAAAGCUGAAACUUAAAGGAAUUGACGGAAGGGCACCACCAGGAGUGGAGCCUGCGGCUUAAUUUGACUCAACACGGGAAACCUCACCAGGCCCGGACACCGGAAGGAUUGACAGAUUGAGAGCUCUUUCUUGAUUCGGUGGGUGGUGGUGCAUGGCCGUUCUUAGUUGGUGGAGCGAUUUGUCUGGUUAAUUCCGAUAACGAACGAGACUCUAGCCUGCUAACUAGGCGUACUUUCGACAUCUGAAAGGCCCCACGGCCCGGCGCUCUCGCGUCGCGGUCGCGCGCGGUUUUUACUGUCGGCGUACAAUCAAUUCUUCUUAGAGGGACAGGCGGCUUCUAGCCGCACGAGAUUGAGCAAUAACAGGUCUGUGAUGCCCUUAGAUGUUCUGGGCCGCACGCGCGCUACACUGAAGGAAUCAGCGUGUCCUCCCUGCCCGAGAGGGCCGGGUAACCCGCUGAACCUCCUUCGUGCUAGGGAUUGGGGCUUGCAAUUGUUCCCCAUGAACGAGGAAUUCCCAGUAAGCGCGAGUCAUAAGCUCGCGUUGAUUACGUCCCUGCCCUUUGUACACACCGCCCGUCGCUACUACCGAUUGAAUGAUUUAGUGAGGUCUUCGGACCGGUACGCGGCGGCGCUCCCGCGUCGCCGAUGUUGCUGGGAAGAUGACCAAA